GUAGUUAAGAGACCAGGCUGGUAACCUGAGGGUCGUAGGUUCGAGUCCGG
rnacentral:tRNA from 1 species